rnacentral:rRNA from 1 species
UACAGAGGGUGCGAGCGUUAAUCGGAAUUACUGGGCGUAAAGCGUGCGUAGGUGGAUUGGUAUGUUGGCUGUGAAAGCCCCGAGCUCAACUUGGGAAGGCCAGCCAAAACUGCCAGUCUAGAGUACAGUAGAGGAAAGUGGAAUUUCAGGUGUAGCGGUGAAAUGCGUAGAUAUCUGAAGGAACACCAGUGGCGAAGGCG